rnacentral:lncRNA from 10 species
GAGCCACAGGGGUUUUAGGAGCAUCUUUCAUUCUAGUGUUUGGUCUUUGACCCCGGUUCCCAACAAACAGCUCCUACUCCCUUGGAAUUUAUUGGGUGAUGGGAGUGUCUUGUUCUAAUGAAGCAACUCUAAUGGGCUCCUGGACGGGGCUGGUCACCAGAAAGACCAGGUUAUGCUGAGAAGCUUGAAACCGUCAGUCCCCCGCCACCCCAUCCUCUGGGAAGGGAAGAGGAGCUGGAGAUCAUGCCCAUGUGAUGAGGCCUCCGUCAAAGUCCUUGCACUCCGGGAUGUGGCUGCCGGACAUGCGGAGGCGCUGGGAGAGCGGCACACCUGGAGAGGGCGUGGAAGCUCCAACACCCCACCUCCACACCGCGUGCUAUGCAUCUCUCCCGUCCAGCUGCUCCUGGGUUUCAGUCUUUCCUAAUGAACAGGCUUCUGCACUUCUGAUGACUCCAUCCAGAUCUCCAGCUUGUCCUGUGGACCCAUCCAUGCAGAAGCAGACUCGGCAGGCACAAGGACCAUUUUCCACACCCCUAUGAUUGCACCUCAUCCAAUCAGCAGCACCCACUCCCUAGUCCCCAGCUCCCUCCAGAUUAUCCUUGAAAAACCCUAGCCUCUGAAUUUUGGGGGAGAUUGACUUAAGUAAUAAAAUUCCAGUCUCCCACUUAGCCAGCUCUGUGUGAACUAAACUCUUUCUCUAUUGCAAUUCCCAUCUUGGUAAGUCAGCUCCAUCUGGGCAGCGGGCAAGGUGAAUCCAGUGGGCGGUCACAGUGACGCCUUUGCUUUCUGAUGGUUUAAUGUACACAAACUUUGUUUCAUGCAGAAAAUUAUGAAAAGUAUUGUAUUAAAUUAACUUCAGGCUAUGUGUAUAAGGUCUAUAUAAAACAAACAAAUUUUGUACUUUGACUUAGGUCCCAGCCCCAAGAUAUC